GUAUAACUUGAAGCCAAAAAAGGAAAAGAAAAGAAGCAGGACCAUGGCCGUGGAAGCCGGAAUCCGCUAGAGAGCGUGUAACAACUCACCUGCCACAUCAGCUAGCCCUGAAAAUGGAUGGCGCUGGAGC
rnacentral:ncRNA from 1 species